CGUAACUCGCUGCUGUGAGAGG
rnacentral:miRNA from 7 species